rnacentral:rRNA from 1 species
AAGGAAUAUUGGUCAAUGGACGAAAGUCUGAACCAGCCAUGCCGCGUGCAGGAUGACUGCCCUAUGGGUUGUAAACUGCUUUUAUAUAGGAAGAAAAACUUUCUCGUGAGAAAGCUUGACGGUACUAUAAGAAUAAGGAUCGGCUAACUCCGUGCCAGCAGCCGCGGUAAUACGGAGGAUCCAAGCGUUAUCCGGAAUCAUUGGGUUUAAAGGGUCCGUAGGUGGACAAAUAAGUCAGAGGUGAAAUCCUGCAGCUCAACUGUAGAACUGCCUUUGAUACUGUUUGUCUUGAGUUAUUAUGAAGUGGUUAGAAUGUGUAGUGUAGCGGUGAAAUGCAUAGAUAUUACACAGAAUACCGAUUGCGAAGGCAGAUCACUAAUAAUCAACUGACACUGAUGGACGAAAGCGUGGGUAGCGAACAGG